rnacentral:rRNA from 1 species
GAGUUUGAUCAUGGCUCAGGAUGAACGCUAGCGGCAGGCUUAACACAUGCAAGUCGAGGGGUAUAGUUCUUCGGAAUUAGAGACCGGCGCACGGGUGCGUAACGCGUAUGCAAUCUACCUUUCACAGAGGGAUAGCCCAGAGAAAUUUGGAUUAAUACCUCAUAGUAUAACGACUCCGCAUGGAGAUGUUAUUAAAGUCACAACGGUGAAAGAUGAGCAUGCGUCCCAUUAGCUAGUUGGUAAGGUAACGGCUUACCAAGGCUACGAUGGGUAGGGGUCCUGAGAGGGAGAUCCCCCACACUGGUACUGAGACACGGACCAGACUCCUACGGGAGGCAGCAGUGAGGAAUAUUGGACAAUGGGCGCAAGCCUGAUCCAGCCAUGCCGCGUGCAGGAUGACGGUCCUAUGGAUUGUAAACUGCUUUUGCACAGGAAGAAACAACGCUACGUGUAGCGUCUUGACGGUACUGUGAGAAUAAGGAUCGGCUAACUCCGUGCCAGCAGCCGCGGUAAUACGGAGGAUCCAAGCGUUAUCCGGAAUCAUUGGGUUUAAAGGGUCCGUAGGCGGUUUAGUAAGUCAGUGGUGAAAGCCCAUCGCUCCACGGUGGAACGGCCUUUGAUACUGCUA